UACAGAGGUCUCAAGCGUUGUUCGGAUUCAUUGGGCGUAAAGGGUGCGUAGGCGGCGCGGUAAGUCGGGUGUGAAAUCUCGGGGCUUAACUCCGAAACUGCAUUCGAUACUGCCGUGCUUGAGGACUGGAGAGGAGACUGGAAUUUACGGUGUAGCGGUGAAAUGCGUAGAUAUCGAGAGGAACACCUGCGGCGAAGGCGGGUUGCUGGGCCGACACUGACGCUGAUGCGCGAAAGCCAGGGGAGCGAACGGG
rnacentral:rRNA from 1 species